CAGCUGUGGACUACUGUGCCUCAGAAAAUCACAGAUGUGAGCACGAGUGUGUAAAUGCUGAAGGGUCCUACCUGUGCAGGUGCCACGAAGGAUUUGCUCUUAAUGUAGACAAGAAAACAUGCUCAAAGAUAGACUACUGUGCCUCCUCGGAUCAUGGAUGUCAGCAUGAGUGUGUCAAUGCCCAGACAUCUGCUUUCUGCCGCUGCCUGAAAGGCUUCAUGCUAAAUCCAGACAGGAAAACCUGCCGAAGGAUCAACUACUGUGCUCUGAACAAACCA
rnacentral:lncRNA from 1 species